UACCCGCAGCACAAGUGGUGGUCAUUAUUAUUGGGCCUAAAGCGUCCGUAGCUGGCUUGUUAGAUGCCUGGGUAAAUCGAUGCGCUUAACGCAUCGAAUUCCGGGUAGACCGGCAAGCUCGAGACCGGGAGAGGUGUAGGCUACUCGAGGGGGUAGGGGUAAAAUCCUGUAAUCCUUCGGGGAGGACCAGUGGCGAAGGCGCUACACUAGAACGGCUCUGACAGUGAGGGACGAAGCCCUGGGGCGCAAACCGG
rnacentral:rRNA from 1 species